CCUACGGGAGGCUGCAGUGGGGAAUAUUGCACAAUGGGGGAAACCCUGAUGCAGCGACGCCGCGUGAGUGAAGAAGUCAUUCUUUAUGUAAAGCUCUAUCAGCAGGGAAGAAAAUCACGGUACCUGUGUCCGAAGCCCCGGCUAACUACGUGCCAGCAGCCGCGGUAAUACGUAGGGGGCAAGCGUUAUCCGGAUUUACUGGGUGUAUAGGGAGCGUAGACGGCAGUGCAAGUCUGGAGUGAAAGGCGGGGGCUCAACCCCCGGACUGCUCUGGAAACUGUACGGCUGGAGUGCAGGAGAGGUAAGUGGAAUUCCUAGUGUAGCGGUGAAAUGCGUAGAUAUUAGGAGGAACACCAGUGGCGAAGGCGGCUUACUGGACUGUAACUGACGUUGAGGCUCGAAAGCGUGGGGAGCAAACAGGAUUAGAUACCCCUGUAGUC
rnacentral:rRNA from 1 species